rnacentral:rRNA from 1 species
UACGUAGGUGGCAAGCGUUGUUCGGAAUUAUUGGGCGUAAAGGGCGCGUAGGCGGUUUGUUAAGUCGGUCGUGAAAGCCCGGGGCUCAACCCCGGAGGGUCGACCGAUACUGGCAGACUAGAGUACAGAAGAGGUAACUGGAAUUCCCGGUGUAGCGGUGAAAUGCGUAGAUAUCGGGGAGGAACACCAGGAGGCGAAGGGCGGGUUGCUGGGCUGAUAC